rnacentral:lncRNA from 1 species
AUGGCUUAUGUGAAGUCUAUGCCCUUCAGUUCUACAGGCAUCUAUCUGAACCCCUGGAGUCUCCAGGGGAAGGGCCCAGGAACCCACAUGGCACUUGCACCCGCACGCUGUCCUCUGUUACCUCCCACUUGUAAAACUGUCUGCCACAGGGGAAUCCCCAAAAGCGCCCAGGGAGACACGGAGACAGAGGUGGUCAGGACAAGAACAGCAGGUGUGCCCCCAAAGUGGAGUCCCAGCAAAGGCUUCUAAGCUCAGCAAACUCUGCUACCACUAGGAAGUAGGAGUGGCCUCUGUGUUGCCCUUGACUUGCCCUCAUCUUUGUGAGCUCCCCGUCCCUUCAGAGAUGGCCGGCUUAGAGGGGCCCAUCUCAGAGGCAAAGCCACCACCUGCCCCGCGUGGGUGUCCCAGAGCAGCAGGCUCAGGGGGGACUCCCCAUGCUUUGGUUGCCCCCCUCACCGGCACCUGACCUCUGUUCUGCUGUUUCCCUUGAAACGGGCGAGCUGUACAUUAAUAAAGGCCCAGCUGUUCAAACUGUCAACGUUUCUUUCCCUCCCAACCAGUUUCAGACUGGGAUUCAACUGGUACGAAUUCUGUUUUUGAUGGGAACUGGGAACAGGCAGAUGAGUCACUAGCACAGGAGUGCUGACAAAAGGUGGAUUCGCCUGGGGCAGGGCAGACUGUGAGACUCUCAGAGAAACAAAUGAAUAAAUACGGCUGGGAUCCACCCUGGGAAAGCAGGGGUUUCACAGGCGAGACUUCAAAAUAGUUUGACUUCAAGAUCUUGAUCUUUC